rnacentral:lncRNA from 1 species
UCGAGCCUGGUACUGGAGGAGCUUGGGGGAGGGUCUGACCCCUAGGCUGGGAGAGGCGUGCAAGGGGGACUGGGAGCAGGGGGGCAAAAGCUGGCCGGGCGCGUUGGGGCGGGAAGGCGGCCGCAGGGCUGGCAAUGGAAAGCGGGGAGCGGGAAAUGCGCGGGGAGGAGACUCGGGUACAGGGUGACUGGGGAAGGCACGAACCCACAGCGCGGGAAGAGCUCGGGCCAGUGGGAUGGUGCCCUUGCCGCUGACGCGCUCUUGUACUAGUUGCUCUGGUCUUAAGUAGAUCGUCAGGGUCCGUGCGUCUCUGAGUGCCGGUCUGUGUCUCUGUCUCCGCCUUUGUAUGUGUCAGUCCAUCUCUAAGUGUCUGUAUCUCUGUCUCUGUGCCCCGUAUCUCUUUCGCUGUGUUAUGGCCUUUGUCUAUGCCUGUCCCUUAAGUGUCUGCCUUUCUCCAUCUAUCUCCAUUCUUGACUCCUGUAUCUCUGUGCCACAGUGUCUCCGUCUCCUGAAUCUGGGUAUUUCAGUCUCUCCUAGGAGGGGUCUAUAGUAACUGGGCCGACGCGCGCACACCAGGGCAGACACCCCCAGCCCUAGUCCGGUGGCUGGAGCCCCCCGCGGCUCUGGAGUGGUGCGCUCGCAGUGUAGGAGGAAUGAAUGGCGGCGUCGCGGGGGGCGCCCUGGCUGCGGGUGACGCGGGGAAGCUCGGAGCACCUGAGGACGCGGAGCGCGCCAGUGUAUGCCCCGAGGGAGUGCGGUAGAGAUGGAGGGUGCCCCCCGCCCUCGUUGCUUUGGACCACGGUCUCCGGGAUGAGGGCCACAGCUGGAGGUGGAGGCCCAGCCUGGAGUGAGAGGAGCCCUGAAACUGGAAGGACAAUAAAGGCGGAAGACUGGGGUCACUGGAAGAGAGUCCAGAAAAUUCCACAUCCACUGGAAGUUGUCCAGUAAUGGGUUCCAAUCCUGACUCCCACUUUCUCAGUGACCUUGAACUGAAGGACCCAUAAUCAUGGUUUUAAAAAAUUAAUUCGUUUGUACUUAAAACAUUUUAGGAGGCCGGGCUCAGUGGCUCACGCCUGCAAUACCAGCACUUUGGGAGGCGAGGUGGGUGGAUCACCUGAGGUCAGGAGUUCAAGACCAGCCUGAUCAACAUGGCAAAACCCCGUCUCUACUAAAAAUACAAAAAAAAUUAGCCAGGUGUGGCACACACCUGCAGUCCCAGCUACUUGGGAGGCUGAGGCACAAGAACCGCUUGACCUAGGGUGGCAAAGGUGGCAGUUGGCGGACAUUGGGCCAUUGCACUCCAGCCUGGGCGACAAAGCGAGGCGAGACUCUGUCUCAAUAAAAG